UACGAAGGGGGGCUAGCGUUGCUCGGAAUCACUGGGCGUAAAGCGCACGUAGGCGGAUCGUUAAGUCAGGGGUGAAAUCCUGGAGCUCAACUCCAGAACUGCCUUUGAUACUGGACGAUCUUGAGUUCGGGAGAGGUGAGUGGGAACUGCGAGUGUAGAGGUGAAAUUCGUAGAUAUUCGCAAGAACACCAGUGGCGAAGGCGGCUCACUGGCCCGAUACUGACGCUGAGGUGCGAAAGCGUGGGGAGCAAACAGGG
rnacentral:rRNA from 1 species